GGUUAUUACUCCUGUUCAUAUCGUUUAGGAGACGCAUUAUGUAGUGUAUGGCGAGGAUUGCAAUUCACAAUAGGGGCUUGUAGCAUCUUAGCGUGCAUCAGUUCCAUAGCCCUCGUGAUCCUGGCUUCUGAAUCUCUAUGCACUUGCUGCAGAAAACAUGAAAUGAGGGAUCCCUUCCCGUACGUCGAAGCCACGAACGUUGGCGAGCGAACCGCAGAUCGUCAACAGCAAUUCGACCUGUAGAUCUAGCAAAAUCAUAUAGAGAACAGAUACGCUGGAUCCACAUGCCAUGCUAUGUCCAAAGAGCCGUUGUUUCCACCAUACGCCGCUGGAACACCACCAACAUGUUGGAUAUGCCAACAAAGAGCCGAAACAAGUCUAUACUUUGAUGAAUAAAUGUUAACGAUUUCAGUUAUUUGGUCCUAAUAAAAUUUC